AAUUCUCAACCUCAUCAGUUUUGUUAUGAGACUGUGUGAGGCUUGGAUGUGGGGGUUGUGCAGAACGCUUUCGAGCAGACUGCUCCCCUUAAAAAUAUUAGCGAGUUCAAACUGGGCUCCGUCUAUUGGUGUGAUAAUUAUCUACGCCGUGGAUGGGGCUUAGACUUGCUUCUAACCGUCCGCAAGGACAAUCUUUUGACA
rnacentral:misc_RNA from 1 species